CCAGAAUUGGUUCCUUCCGGUGGGUUCUUGGUCUCACUGACUUCAAGAAUGAAGCCACGGACCCUUGCGUCACAAGCACCUCUUCGGCAAAGCCCACCUCCCUCUCUCGCUUGAUUCCCCGGCCAUCCUUAUCAAAGACCUUCCAGGUGAACAGGCAGCCAUCCUCAGCAGCAGUCAGCAGGAACUGAUCAUCAAAGCCAGUAGACAAGAUUUGACUCUGGAGGUGACGUCUGAGCCAAUAGGUAUUUGGAGUCUGGAGAAAAAGCCAUGCUAAUAAAUUUCUGAACUUGGAAGUCAAAA
rnacentral:lncRNA from 1 species